CACUCAUUCAAAGAGUGCGUAAUAGCUCACUGGUCGAGUGAUCCUGCGCCGAAGAUUUCCGGGGCUAAAACUUACUACCGAAGCUACGGCAUCAGUAAUGAUGGGUAGGGGAGCUUCCCAUACGGGUUGAAGCAUGACCGUAAGGACAUGUGGACAGUAUGGGGGUGAGAAUGUUGGCAUGAGUAGCGAGAUGUGGGUGAGAAUCCCACAGGCCGUAAACCCAAGGUUUCCAGGGGAAGGUUCGUCCGCCCUGGGUUAGUCGGGACCUAAGCUGAGGCCGAAAGGCGUAGGUGAUGGACAACAGGUUGAUAUUCCUGUACUACCGAUAACCGUUUGAGAGAAGGGAUGACACAGUAGGAUAAGCUAAGCACACUGUUGGUUAUGUGUGCCCAAGCAUUGAGGCAGUCAAAGUAGG
rnacentral:rRNA from 1 species